UGGAGUGAGGCUUAAUGGUAGAGCACUCGCCUGGCAUGUGUGAGGCCUGGGUUUGAUCCUCAGCACCACAU
rnacentral:tRNA from 1 species